UCACACAUUCCCCUGAGCCCUUCCAAAACUGGUGACUUGUUGACAGGCACACACCCUAGGGAAGACCAACGCCGGCUUCUGGAGCUUUGAAUGUUUCCUUUGCGGAGAAGCCGCCCGGCCUGCGAGGGGCGGGCCCUGGCAGGAAAGGCCUCGCAGCAACUCACCUCUCCCCGCCCAGCCGGCUGCUCCCGCUGGAGGAGGUGCAGGGGACAAGCGAAACUAGUUCAUGUGUCAGCUACCCCGGGGACUUGGCGGGGCCCGGCCUGCUGCAAGCCCCAAAACACUGGCUUCUGCUCCACACAUCCGUUCCUUGCCUGGCCACUGCAGGUCUGCAUGCAAAGAUUCCGAAGGAACAGAGAAGAGGAGGAUUAAAGGCCCAGAAGCAGGGGAAAUCCUCCAUUAGAAAAAAGACAAGGGCAGAGCCGGGGACUUCCGUGCUUGUUCCGCCCCCGCCUAAGUUAAUAAGCUACAAGAACCAGUUGCUUCGCGUCUGGACACGCUUUGCAGUUCCAUAACUACAGAACUUUCUCUCUGUGUGUCUCUCUCUGUGUCUCUUCUCCUCUUGUGUCUCCUCAGCGAUCUUUGGUGCUCCUGAAGGCAAGCAGCACACCUGAAUCAUAAAGCUUUCAGAUGCUUUUGAGUUCAAAGUUUUAUUUUCUACUUUAAAGCCCUCAAUAAAUUAGGGCAAAGGUAGCUAGAA